UAACUGGUAUUGCCGUUUGAU
rnacentral:piRNA from 1 species